rnacentral:lncRNA from 1 species
AUGUGAAAACCAGACAGGUUUCUGUGCCUGCAUCCUAGCUGCUGCUGACUCUCUGGCAGCCUACAAGGGCCAGAAACAAAUAAAGCCAUGUGGUGUCCAAAACCUCACGGAAUCAGUAUACAGCUGUCAUCAGGAGCACUCCCUGCUCGGUACCAAUGACCUAAAAUCUCGUGGGAUUCAAUCACCUGCGUCCCGGACUGUAUGAAGUGUGCUCUCUCCUAUAGAAGUCAGACAUCGGGAUUUCCAUCUUCCUGGAAGACCGGCCCUUCAAAGCCAAUUUGUUCCAUGUCCCUGUUGAGUCCUGUUCCAGUGUGCAGAGGAGGAACCGUACGGAGUGGGCUGAGCCUGGCAAAGCUGGCUGCUUAGGGUGACUUCUCUGUAGAACGGAGUUCCAAAGUUACUGAAGGAGUGCUGCUGUGAGUCACCUUCCCGCCAGCCA